UACGGAGGGUCCAAGCGUUAUCCGGAUUCAUUGGGUUUAAAGGGUGCGUAGGCGGCUUAAUAAGUCAGUAGUGAAAGACUGUGGCUCAACCAUAGAAUUGCUAUUGAAACUGUUAAGCUUGAAUCUAGUUGAAGUGGGCGGAACACAUCAUGUAGCGGUGAAAUGCAUAGAUAUGAUGUAGAACGCCGAUUGCGAAGGCA
rnacentral:rRNA from 1 species